AUUGAACGCUGGCGGCAGGCCUAACACAUGCAAGUCGAGCGGAGCUGCGGACGGGCGAGUGAUUCCUAGGAAUCUGCCUGGUAGUGGGGGAUAGCGUACGGAACCGGGCGCUAAUCCCGCAUCCUAUCAGAUGAGCCUAGGUGGGAUUAGCUAGUUGGGGGGGUAAAGGCCUACCAAGGCGACGAUCCGUAACUGGUCUGAGAGGAUGAUCAGUCACACGGGAACUGAGGCAAGGUCCAGACUCCUACGGGAGGCAGCAGUGGGGAAUAUUGGACAAUGGACGAAAGCCUGAUCCAGCCAUGCCGCGUGUGUGAAGAAGGUCUUCGGAUUGUAAAGCAAUUUAAGUUGGGAGGCGUUACCAACAGAAUAAGCACCGGCUAACUUCGUGCCAGCAGCCGCGGUAAUAC
rnacentral:rRNA from 1 species